AAUGAACGCUGGCGGCAGGCCUAACACAUGCAAGUCGAACGAGAAAGUGACUUCGGUCAUUAGUACAGUGGCAAACGGGUGAGUAACACGUGGGAAUUUUCCCUUCAGUUCGGAAUAGCCCUUGGAAACGAGGAGUAAUACCGGAUACGAUCUACGGAUGAAAGAUUUAUCGCUGAAGGAUAAGCCCGCGUUAGAUUAGCUAGUUGGUGAGGUAAUGGCUCACCAAGGCUACGAUCUAUAGCUGGUCUGAGAGGAUGAUCAGCCACACGGGGACUGAGAUACGGCCCAGACUCCUACGGGAGGCAGCAGUGAGGAAUAUUGGACAAUGGAGGAAACUCUGAUCCAGCCAUGCCGCGUGAGUGAUGAAGGCCUUAGGGUCGUAAAACUCUUUCGAUGGGGAAAAUAAUGAUGGUACCCAUAUAAGAAGCUCCGGCUAACUCCGUGCCAGCCGCCGCCGUAA
rnacentral:rRNA from 1 species